rnacentral:rRNA from 1 species
UGGGAGUGAGAAUGUUGGCAUGAGUAGCGAGAUGUGGGUGAGAAUCCCACAGGCCGUAAACCCAAGGUUUCCAGGGGAAGGUUCGUCCGCCCUGGGUUAGUCGGGACCUAAGCUGAGGCCGAAAGGCGUAGGGGAUGGACAACAGGUUGAUAUUCCUGUACUACCGAUAACCGUUUGAGAGAAGGGAUGACACAGUAGGAUAAGCUAAGCACACUGUUGGUUAUGUGUGCCCAAGCAUUGAGGCAGGCAAAGUAGGCAAAUCCGCUUUGAUAAUGCUGGGAUGUGAUGGGGAGCGAAAGUUAGUAGCGAAGUAGCUGAUUUCACACUGUCAAGA